CUGUGGAACACCUGUGGCAGGCCAGACACUGCAGGGUGCUCUUGGAGCCAUGAAGGUUGAGUCUCUGUAGGAUGAGGUCACUGAAGAUUUUGACCGUGGCUGUGAAUGACAGUGAAGUGUGAGCAUCCUCUGAGACGUCAGCUUUCCACAGGAGCCAAUGAAGCAACAAACCUAUUGUUGGAAAAUGGAUUCUCCGGGGAGGGUGCCAGGGGGACCCUGGGCUCGU